AACGAUGAAGCUUCUAGCUUGCUAGAAUGCUGAUUAGUGGCGCACGGGUGAGUAACGCAUAGGUCAUGCGCCUCUUAGUUUGGGAUAGCCAUUGGAAACGAUGAUUAAUACCAGAUACUCCCUACGGGGGAAAGAUUUAUCGCUAAGAGAUCAGCCUAUGUCCUAUCAGCUUGUUGGUAAGGUAAUGGCUUACCAAGGCUAUGACGGGUAUCCGGCCUGAGAGGGUGAACGGACACACUGGAACUGAGACACGGUCCAGACUCCUACGGGAGGCAGCAGUAGGGAAUAUUGCUCAAUGGGGGAAACCCUGAAGCAGCAACGCCGCGUGGAGGAUGAAGGUUUUAGGAUUGUAAACUCCUUUUGUUAGAGAAGAUAAUGACGGUAUCUAACGAAUAAGCACCGGCUAACUCCGUGCCAGCAGCCGCGGUAAUACGGAGGGUGCAAGCGUUACUCGGAAUCACUGGGCGUAAAGAGCGCGUAGGCGGGAUAGUCAGUCAGGUGUGAAAUCCUAUGGCUUAACCAUAGAACUGCAUUUGAAACUACUAUUCUAGAGUGUGGGAGAGGUAGGUGGAAUUCUUGGUGUAGGGGUAAAAUCCGUAGAGAUCAAGAGGAAUACUCAUUGCGAAGGCGACCUGCUGGAACAAUACUGGCGCUGAUUGCACGAAAGCGUGGGGAGCAAACAGGAUUAGAUACCCUGGUAGUCCACGCCCUAAACGAUGGAUGCUAGUUGUUGGGGGGCUUUGUCCUCCCAGUAAUGCAGCUAACGCCUUAAGCAUCCCGCCUGGGGAGUACGGUCGCAAGAUUAAAACUCAAAGGAAUAGACGGGGACCCGCACAAGCGGUGGAGUAUGUGGUUUAAUUCGAAGAUACACGAAGAACCUUACCUAGGCUUGACAUUGAAGGAAUCUGCUAGAAAUAGCGGAGUGUCUAGCUUGCCAGACCCUGAAAACAGGUGCUGCACGGCUGUCGUCAGCUCGUGUCGUGUGAUGUUGGGUUAAGUCCCGCAACGAGCGCAACCCUCUUUCUUAGUUGCUAACAGGUAGUGCUGAGCUCUCUAAGAAGACUGCCUGCGUAAGCAGGAGGAAGGUGAGGACGACGUCAAGUCAUCAUGGCCCUUACGCCUAGGGCUACACACGUGCUACAAUGGGGUGCACAAAGAGAUGCAAUGCCGCGAAGUUGAGCUAAUCUUAAAAACAUCUCUCAGUUCGGAUUGCAGGCUGCAACUCGCCUGCAUGAAGCUGGAAUCGCUAGUAAUCG
rnacentral:rRNA from 1 species